AGUCGUAACAAGGUUUCCGUAGGUGAACCUGCGGAAGGAUCAUUACCGAAUGUCGACACGAGUUGUUGCUGGUCCUCGAAUGGGGGCAUGUGCACGCUCUGUUUACACAUCCACUCACACCUGUGCACCCUCUGUAGUUCUAUGGCCUGAGGGCCUCUGUCCUCUUUGCCCAUGGUUCUACGUCUUUACACACACACCGUAACAAAGUCUCAUGGAAUGUAUGCAGCGUUUAACGCAAUACAAUACAACUUUCAGCAACGGAUCUCUUGGCUCUCGCAUCGAUGAAGAACGCAGCGAAAUGCGAUAAGUAAUGUGAAUUGCAGAAUUCAGUGAAUCAUCGAAUCUUUGAACGCACCUUGCGCCCUUUGGCUAUUCCGAAGGGCAUGCCUGUUUGAGUAUCAUGAACACCUCAACUCCUCGUGGUUUGCCACGAUGGGAUUGGACUUUGGGGGCUUUGCCGGCUACUGUUGCCGGCUCCUCUCAAACGAAUCAGCUUGCCAGUGUUUGGUGGCGUCACAGGUGUGAUAACUAUCUACGCUUGUGGUCUCCCCACCAGGUAACCUUCAGCAAUGGAGGUUCGCUGUGGCUCAUAAACGUCUCUCCUCUGUGAGAGACAGCUUUUUAACGUUUGAUCUCAAAUCAGGUAGGACUACCCGCUGAACUUAAGCA
rnacentral:rRNA from 1 species